rnacentral:antisense_RNA from 1 species
AAUAACUAAAAAUAGUAUUGGGGUUAAGGGUCAUAUUUGUUAUUUUUCUUACAUCUCCACCACCCGGAGCCCAGGUAUCAUAUAUACCUCCAAAAUAGAGAGCUUUUAGCACGAGAAGAAAAGAACCAGCACCGAGUAAGAUGAGAUGAAUACCCAAAAUGGUAGUCAUUUUAUUUCUAUCCUUCCA